UGAAAUGGGGGCUUAUGUUGAUGGUAGGUACUACUGGGUAGAGAUGAAACAACCCGGAACUGAAGAAUUUAAUAAGUUGAAGGGGAAUGAGUUGAAGAUAAUGUCAUAUGAUUUUGAUACGCAGUUGUUUGGGGAAUUUAAUGUGCCAAAUCAUGUUCCCCGUCUAUUUGGAGUUAUUGCCCCGUUUAAGCUCAUGAGUUUUGAAGGUUCACUCGCUCUUUGUACUUUGGACCCAGAUUGCUACAAUCUAGUGCCUCCCAAGUAUCCUUUUCCUAUAUGGUUGAGGAGGCAACGAAAAGGUGUAGGCUCUUGGGUUCUACUUGCUACAGCUGUGCUCAAACAAUAUGGGCAUCCUUUGAAUAUUACAAAGACUGGAACUCUUAUAGUAGAGUCAUUCCAAUCGCAGCGUCCUGAUGAAACGCACAUAGUCUCUAUUAAUUUUAAGAGCGGGAUUUCUAAAUAUCAUGGAUAUGGUAAGCACGGGGGUCCAGAUGUUUCCCGUGAAGUCCUUGCUCCAUCUACUGUAGACACCUCGUUUCCACAGAGUCUAAUCAUGUACGAGGGAGGCAAAUUACUGUUGAAAUAUGCAAAGUGAGGAAUUGUCAGUCUACUGCUGUUUGAAGAGGUAAUGAAUCAGCCCGACCCCAGCACAGAUCUCCGGAAAUCAUGUACUAAGGCCAAGCAUGAGGUCAGUCGUGGUUGCCCUUAUGACACUCAUAUCCAGAAAUAGGGACUGGGAUGCCAGUUGAUCAGAGAAAAACCGAGAUCUUGUUACCUGAUGUCUUGAGUGUAGCUUAUGACUGGAGUCGUCGUGUUUCCAUUGCUGUUUAAAUGUAUUUCUAUUAGCUUACAAGAAGUAUGCAUAUCUGCCGCUGGGAAUGCUGCUUUCGGUAUAUACAACAAUACUAAACUGUCAUAAACAGAGGCCUUUCCCUGUGAUUUGUGACAGUUCCAGACUUGUAGUACUAAGUGACAGUCAUUGAUCAGUAGACGACGUUCUUUUA